UAGUCAUGGCUUGAGCUAGUCUUACUGGAACUCGAUCCUCAUGGAUAUUGAAAGUCGGGGUGAGCGCCUCACCCCGACUUUGAGUUGAUUUCCCUGGCCCCCAUACAUGAAUUUAAGUGAAAGUCUAGCUUGAGUUGAGCUUGCUAGCAACUCUUGGAAUAAAAGAGCUGGAUAGAGGAUUAGGUCCCAUAGUAGGUAUGGAAAUGUUAUUCUGAGUACAUGUGUGGCUCCAAAUUAUCUUUUUGUGUGAGAAUUAGGUGAUUUGCUUGAUAGAAGUGCUCGGUGUGCAUUUUCAUGCUUAGGAUUGCA
rnacentral:misc_RNA from 1 species